CCGGUGCCUGCAGUUACAAAUGAAUCUAAUAGGACAGAACUGUCAACUGAUCCUGCCACUGAAAGGUCAGAAAGCUGAUAAGAUGGUUGACGGUAUGGACUUUGGAGAGCUUUGCAAUGAGUAUGAGUGCAUUAGUAGCCCUUUGGUGGACCAGACAACUUCGGACAUGGAUUCCAAUUUCAGAUGUGAUUUUCUUACUUUUGUUUUGCCUGUAGUGAACUGGAAGUCCUACUUUCUUAGUAAUUGCAGGAUCCAGUCAGGAGUUUUGCAGGUCGUGAGAAAUACAAGAGACCGCUAUGGGUAACUGGUGCACUGGACAACCCUUCCGUAAGUGUGCAAGAAAUGGAUAUGUUGUCAACCAGUGUCCUGAGUAUCAAGUGGACAAUAAUAAAAGGGAAGCCUAAAUCUCUUGUAGCUGAUAUAUGUGGAGAUUUGAUAAUAAAAGUGAACUCCAGGUUCACUUUGAACCAGAUUAGCGGCCAAGUGAUUGAGUAAUAAGGGUUAUGGGAUUUUUCAGCUUCAUCACCUAGAGCUCAGGCAUUCUUCUGGGCAUCGCGACGCAUGUUCGCUACAGUUGAGAAUGGAAAAUUUUGUCAAGAACUUGUCAAGCCAUCUUCCAACCCAGAAGAAGACUUAUCUUGACGCUUCUGGUGAUCCAAUAAAGGUUAGCUUUACUACAAUCUAAUUGCUGCUUCUCAAAUUGGUAACAAAUUUUUAAUCUGCAAAACAUCAAGCCUGUUCUACUAGGUAUAGAAUGGUUGUAUGUAAGUCUGGUAACACGAUCUGUCAUCACCAAUGAGCUUUUGUUAAGUGGUACUACAGUUAUCUUCAAGACUGUGAGAUCAUAUCCCAAUGAAAAAAAAAAGAUCUUUUACAUCGAAUUGUUGAAAGUAGUUACAGCAAAGUAAAGCCUGUUAUUCAUUUAGGGAUAGGACUAAAAGCAUCGUUAAUCCCAUUUGUUUCUAUAUUAGCCUGUUGUAUCAUUUGCUUAUGAACACAGUUUUUCCAAAGUGGACGAAGGCUUCCAAAGAGACGCAUACCAGAUUGCACUAUUUCUUGCAGUCCUUUACUUUGUUGUACAGUGUUUGAAGACAACCCUGUAAAGCAUGUCAUGCCAUGUUCUGAAAUCCAUCUAUCAUUGUAGUUAAUGUUGCAACAAUCUUAUUUUGUAUAGUGUCCUUCCCACGGUAAUGCAGUGUAACCAAAUUAUUAUUUUUUUUUUACUGGUUUGGUUUUGCACUUAUUCUUUCUGUCUUUUCCAGGACAGACGUGGACA